GACUCAGUGGUUCAGUGGUAAAUCUUCCCCUGUGGAGUCGAAAGGGUCUUGGGUUCGAUCCCCGAUGAGGUCG
rnacentral:tRNA from 1 species